AGCGCCAUCUAUUGGUGGACUACGAUACUUACAAGCGUGAGUUACUAGAUCAGCUGAUCGUGUUAAGUCCACACCAAAAUAGACAACGAUUACUAUUUUGAGUAGGAUUAUUUGUCAAAUUCCGAAAAGAGGUUUUUGUUGUUGGUUUUGUUUGUAACACAGUUGUUAACAGGUUAUGUGAAAAACCUGAGAGGAAAAAAAAUGUGUAAAAGUGCAUGUGACUAAAACCAAAAAUAUAUCUCAGUGAAGUGGUUGGCGAAGUCCGUUGCAUAUAUCGUAUUUUGCACCUAUGCCGUUCACUUAACCUACGCAAUAGAUGGUUGUCCACUUCCACGUCCUCCCAUAUCAAGUGCCGUUUUCCAGAUUAGGAUUCGGCACCCAGUAUGUACACUGAAUCUAAUAACCCAG